UGACAAGUGGCUGAAUGGUGAUUCCACCUCUGGAGAGAGCACUGGAGGUUGAUGCUGUUGGGGGCCUGGAGUGGUUUGUGGGGGGAUCGUGCAUGGUGGGGGGGGGGGCAGGCACUAAGGCUAACCCCAGGACAGAGCUCUGCUAGCCUGACAAACCCAGGUACUCCAAGGGGCCGCUGUAAAGGUUUAAGUGGGGAAAGAGGAGAACACUCUGGCUUGGUGCUUUGGGCAGCUCCUGUCUGGUCAGUACAGGCUGGGAUCUUGGGAUUUUAAGACUGAAUCAGAGAAAGAAUUCAACCAUCAUAGCUGAGGAUUCCUAUGCUCCUGCCCAGUCCUCUGUCUUGGGAGCCACAGCCUGGAUGUCACCGUGCAUAGCUCUUUGAGGGUGAGCAUUCCCUGCCUCUGAGGCGCAUUUGGGAAGGCAAGCCCCAACCUUCAGGAGGCAGGGCCUCAGGAGCCUCCCUCUGCAGUUCCUGGAGCCUGUGAGAAUCGUGUUUCUAGUCUCUGAGCCCAGCUCUGAAUUCCUCGACUUCAGGCCAAGACCCGUCAGGGGUCACUGUGGUGUGGGAACAGAGUCCAGCCCUGAACACAGUUGCUCUCAUAACAGAAGUGUGGCACCAAGGUCCUACCUUCCAGGGCCACACACAAGCCCAAAGCCGUCAGGCCUGCCCACCAGCUGCGGGACCUGUGAGUCUUCCUCUGUAAACACCGGCAAAGGGAAGCAGGCACCGGGCAACAGCUUUGGGACAUCCUAGACCUGCCUGGAGGGAGAGCCCUGAGCACAGCAAGGAGGCCCAGUCAGGCACCAGGAUGAUCCAUCAGGGGGACCCUGCACCACCCUGGAACAAACAAAUGCAAGGUUUGGGAGCCAUGGUGAGACUUGGGAUUGUCCUCCUAAGGUGCCCCUCUACUUAAGUGGGCAGACAGAGACCCCGUAUUAAAAUGCCUGCGGCCUCUUCAACCUCACGGUUAUUACAAGAUGAGCGGAGUGAGACACUUGUUGAGGAAUCCCUCCAGGUCCAAGUACGUUAAUCUAGCUACCAGAGC
rnacentral:lncRNA from 1 species